UGGGGAAUUUUGGACAAUGGGCGAAAGCCUGAUCCAGCAAUGCCGCGUGUGUGAAGAAGGCCUUCGGGUUGUAAAGCACUUUUGUCCGGAAAGAAAUCCUCUGGGUUAAUACCUCGGGGGGAUGACGGUACCGGAAGAAUAAGCACCGGCUAACUACGUGCCAGCAGCCGCGGUAAUACGUAGGGUGCAAGCGUUAAUCGGAAUUACUGGGCGUAAAGCGUGCGCAGGCGGUUUUGUAAGACGGAUGUGAAAUCCCCGGGCUUAACCUGGGAACUGCAUUCGUGACUGCAAGGCUAGAGUAUGGCAGAGGGGGGUUAGAAUUCCACGUGUAGCAGUGAAAUGCGUAGAGAUGUGGAGGAAUACCGAUGGCGAAGGCAGCCCCCUGGGCCAAUACUGACGCUCAUGCACGAAAGCGUGGGGAGCAAACAGGAUUAGAUACCCUGGUAGUCCACGCCCUAAACGAUGUCAACUAGUUGUUGGGAAUUCAUUUCCUUAGUAACGUAGCUAACGCGUGAAGUUGACCGCCUGGGGAGUACGGUCGCAAGAUU
rnacentral:rRNA from 1 species